rnacentral:rRNA from 1 species
UACGUAGGGUGCAAGCGUUGUCCGGAAUUAUUGGGCGUAAAGAGCUCGUAGGCGGUUUGUCGCGUCUGCUGUGAAAACCCGAGGCUCAACCUCGGGCCUGCAGUGGGUACGGGCAGACUAGAGUGCGGUAGGGGAGAUUGGAAUUCCUGGUGUAGCGGUGGAAUGCGCAGAUAUCAGGAGGAACACCAAUGGCGAAGGCAGAUCUCUGGGCCGUAACUGACGCUGAGAAGCGAAAGCAUGGGGAGCAAACAGG